UAAUAUUUUUUAUUUUUUAUGUUAUUAUCAUUUUAUCCAGCAUUACUGUAUCAUUAAUGGCAAUUUUAAGUCUCUCGUUUUGCCAGUUCAAAAAAAAAAAAAAAAAAGAAAGAAAGAAAGAAAAGAAAAAGAAAAAGAAAAACACGUAAUACUUUUCUUCAGUACAAAAGGUAGUCAUGACGGAAUAAGGCGCUUAAGGGGUUCUGUGAUAUGAGAUUUUCACAGCCUAGCUGGUUUCUGUAAAGUUUACAAGGAAAAGCUCGCAUUGCAACUUAAGUGCCACGAGGGGAGAAAUAUUCCCUUGCAUGUUCACUGCUGUAUGUCCCUUGUACCUGAUAAUUCAGGCACUUAUCAUCGGAAAGGGAGAAAAAAACGGAAGGAAAAACAUAAGUCCUGACGGCUGAAGGGCCAGUCUGUGAGUAUGUCCUCCAAUAUGCAACCGGACUCAUCUGCUAAAUGUGGCUGGCGAAAGGGGUAAAGGGGCAAGGCCAGGCAAGGCCUUCUUUCUAGACGGGCCUGUUAUUUUCUCUUUCUACGGGCAUUUUGUUACUUUUCAGUUUGGUCGCCGAGCUUUUCAGACAGGAUAACCCUAUGUAUUGCAGGCGCCAUUUUGAGGGAAUGACCUGAAUAAAUGGUUUCCUGACAGAACUCUGACCACGGUUCUGCACAGGACUUGUUUCAAAGGGUCUUCAGACACGGUUCUGGGGGGCAGGGGAGUGGCGCAAGUCUGUACAUCUGUGAGGCUCCGGCCUAGCUCUGCACUGAGCACUGUUCCUCGCGCAUGCUCUAUGCGUACCCCUCACAUACUCGGGUGGGCGACGUGGGUCCCCAGGCCCCCCGGCGAGGGCCGAGGGCUGCUGCCCAUUGGCUGAAGCCCAGGACAAGGCCAGCCACCCACAGUCUUUCCCUAGGGCGAGCCACCCACACCUCAGUGUUUCACAGGCUCCCGCCAAGUCUGCUCAGCUGCCUUGGAGGCCCUCGGCUCUCCUUCCACAGCCACCUUGGCUUUUUGCCCGUUGGCGGCCAGGCUGCCACUCCGCAGCUGCCCCAAGUAGCUGCUAGCCACAUGGCUUUGGUGGUGCCACCUUCGAGUUAUUUUUCAACCGGACUUCCAGCCGCCAUCAUGGUGAGUCGAGGGGAGGUCCCGGGUGACAGUGAAGACCAGCCCUAAGCUGCAGAUUCCUUACACGGGGUUGAAAUUCGGCUUUUUAGGUGUAGCACAAAGAAAUGGGGAGAGGGCAAAAGGGGUUCCUUCGAAUUGUCCAGUUCGCCCACUGGACAGCCCCAAGGGUUAGGCCUGGAGGGCGGGAGUCGUGGCCUUGCUGACUUUGCGGCCUACACAAGCACUGAGGGGCCCCGGGAAGAUGGCGGUCGGCCGGUGGCCAAUGGGAGCCCUGGGGACCUCGGGCUGGUCCAGGGUGGGCCAUGUGCAGGACCUGGGCAUCCUGUGACAGCCCUUUCCUGCCUUUGGGCGGAGGUGCCUGGAGGAGUAGGCCUUGGGUCAGGCCCGCGGCCGCCCACGCCCCACCCUGCCGCACAGGCCCUUGUCUGGAGCAGCUUCCGGGUAGGAGUCAGUGCGGGCUCCUUUGCCAGGUGGCGCCUAAGCUGGCAGCCUCAGAGCCUGUGGACUUUUGGAUUAGCUGCUGUGUCUAGGGUGACUUAGCAAGUAUGGUUAUUGGGAGGCUGGAGGCGGGCCUUCACAGGCUGCCAUUGGUCAGGCUCUGUGGACAGUGGUGCCUGAGUGGUGGAGGCAGCUUUGCCUCAGCUGUGUGUUUAACUUCUGGUGUGCAUGGGCUGGGGGAGAGCCAGAGGCCUAGCUGGGUUGAGGAAAGGGUGAAGGAGGGGAUAGCUAGACAGGACACGUGCUGUACCCCACUACAGGAUGCUAGCUUUAGAGCUUCCAGGAUAACUUAGGCUACAGUAAGACUCUGCCUCAGAAUCAGUACUGUAAACGUUGAUGGCCAUUUAGUCACAAAUCCCUUGUAUAUUGCAUCUUGUUUAUAAUUUUUUGCACUUUAAAGGUAAAGGAAGAAAUUCAUACAGUUUAGGACAGAUGUGAAAAUUAAGUUGGACUCUUGUAAACAUUUGCAAUAAUUGUGAAUCACAAUUGUGAAUUAUCUAUUACAGUAAUUAAGAUCGCACAAUACCGGACAGUUACUCACUACAUUAGUGUUUGAAAUGUGAGGACUUCAGACUUUAUAUUAGCUAGUAUUUGUGACAUACAUGGAAAUUUGCCUAGUACAGUGAUUUAAUUGCAUUUCAAAAACGUUAUCCUAAAAUCUUUAAUAACAGUAUUCUCAGCUUCUAGCACUAUUUGUUAUGUGGAUAUUCAAAUAUAAUGGAAUAUGUUACUGUACAUAAUAGCAAAGUUUGUGUGUGCUAGCCUCCAAGUUCAUUGCUGGUAUUCUAAUAUUUCCCGUUAAGUCAUGGCACAUUUGGAGAUAUAAUUAAUCUGCCUUAAAUUUAUUACAAUUUGUUUUCAGUAUGCUAUUACAGUCUAUUGGUGGGUAAGAUUAUACUUUUCCACCAGUGUCAGUAGUGGGCAUGUAGAUGUGUGGAAAAUCUCAACUAUUGGGGUGAGUGGGGACCAGAGGCCAAGGCAAGAGGAUCACUUGAGCCCUUUAGAAAUUCAAGUCAACUUUGGCAACAUAAGACGUCCUUUAAAAUCUGUUGUACUCAAGAAAUAGAGGCAUGAGUUUGAAGCCAGUCUGGUCUUCAUAGCAAGCUUCAGGCCAGCCAGAGUUACAUAAUAAGGCCCUAUCUCUUAAGUUUAAAACUUAACACUUUCUUGAACAUCAAAAUUUGACUUACAAGUAUUUGGUUGUAGAGUGGUUUUGAUCAUAUUUUAAAAGAAGUAACUAAAGCAUUUAUCAGUAGUGGGUGUUUUAAAUACAACAAUAUUGAGCAUACUGUAGGCAUUAGGUCUUAUUAAAAUGGAGUUCUUUGCUUUCUUGGUUUUGAGUGCCACCUACUCAAGGAUAAGGACCAGGAUAUGGUGCGCUUUCUUUAAUACAUUUUACACUAUUAGGAUGAAACCGAUUUUAUAUUUACUCUGGUGAAACAGGUAGUUUAAGCCCAAAUCAAGCAUCCUAUAAUAUUUACUGCUUUAUUUUCAUUCUCAGUAAACUUUUCUCAAACAUUCAUUUUACUUUUGUACACAGAAUACAUUUAGAAGACAUUUGAGAUUUUUUUUCUAAUUUUUGUAAGCAAGCAAACCACUAUUAUGAACAAUGAAAAGCAAGUUCUCCCAAACAAUUAUUUUGAUCUUUAGUUCUAGAGGUACCCAUUACAGGAUUUUUCAUCAUAUCCCUGUAGAGGUUUUGGUCCCAGUAAUACUUUGUUAUGGGAAUCCAUUGUUAUGGAAAUAUCCCUGGCUGCCUACCACAUGCCAGAAGUUUACUUCACUGGUGACAUCCAGAAAUGUUCUAGACAUUUAAUAGUACUGCUGCAGUACUGAGAAUCGGUGCAUUAUAACUUAUACUCUGGUUAACUGGUGAAAUAUUACACUUCUAAGUUGAAAUAUAUCCAUGUAUUAUGGUACAGACACCAGUAAAAAGAACCAUCAAGUGUAAAUAUAUUGUAAAUUCAUCCAUACAAGAAUGGGAUAUUGAGAAAUGGAAUCCUAUAAAAAUUAGAGAACUAAUGUUUUUUUGUUUUGAGUUUAUUUUUGAAUAAAAAAUUGAGUAGAGAUGGAUAGAUUGUCUAUUAGGAAAUCAAAUCAAGUCAGGUUCUAAAUAGUCCAGAAGAUGCAUAGCAUAUAUAAUAGUUCCAUUUAGAAUAAAACUGAAAUUGUAAGAUAGUGAAAGAAGGAAAAAAUUUAAUAAUCUUACUCCCUGCCAUUUCAUUAGCAUGAAAUAACACAAAGGGGAUUUACUGUUCAAAGGAAUAAGGUAGUUCUCAUGUAGGAAACAAAAUAGCAAAUAUGGCUUUAAGUAGAUAAAAGCAAAACAUGAUUUGACGAUUUUUCAUUUCUAAAGUUUUUAUUAAGUUAAUCUUUUAAAAACUAACUGACAUUUUUAGCUUCUUAACAUGUAUGCACACAUAUAAACAAGUUAUGUAUUCUAGCUUUUCCUUAAUAUUAUGUUUCAUGAAUCGAUUUUGAGUGGAUGUGACAUAAUAGUUUACUACAAUUCAAUUCAGUGAAUAAAGGCAGCUAAGAUAGGAAAAUCUAGUGGGGGCGACUUUUCUAACUUCAUUGAAACAAAUUCAAAUACAGCAUGCUACUUUAUACUUUAUAAAAUGAGAUUAACCAAUGUUAGUCAUUAUCAGAGCAAUCUGUCAGAGAUACACUCUGGUAAGCAUGCUGCUUAUGAAUUAACUUAGUAAGAGGCAUAAAUGUAGGUGUUUUGACUAAGUCCAUUUCUGUUGUGCUCUGUUGUAUUGCCUCUUCCAUACACACAUUCCCAAUAAGUUGUACUUAGAAAAAUUCAUGUUAACCAAUUAAGAAUCUACUGUAUGUUGAUUGAAGAGAGUUUGGAUCAAAAUCAGGAAAAAACGAGUUGUAUGCGUAGAAUAUCUGAAAAUAAAAGAUGGUGUUGUUUCUAUUAACCACUGAAAAUUUCGAGAUGGCAGUGGGGCUUAUAUGGUAUUAUUCAGGAAACAGCUAUUUGAGAACAUGCAUUAAACAUGGUAGUGUUAAGGAAUAGGAACAGAAUUCAUGUAUUUCUAAAGUCAGUGGGACAUUAAUGUGGGAGUGUUAAGAUUUAUAUUAAUUUGAUAACAGAAGGGCAAAGAUAAAAGACUGAUUUGAGAAUUCGAUACUUUUCUGUUUGGGAUUUUGAACAGGUGUUUUGUUUACUUUGGAGUUUUAAUAUGCUUUUGAUUUAACAUACUCAGUAACAUUAAAAUUUAAUAAUUUACUUCUUCCCUUCCAAUUUGUAGCCCUUUGAGCUCAUUUCACUGUCUGAUUUCUCUGGCUAGGACUUCGAGAAGUAUAUUGAAUAAGUAGGGAGACAGUGGGCAGUCUUGUCUAGGCCCUGAUUUUAGAGGGAUUGCUUCACGUUUCUCUCCAUUUAGUUUAAUGUUAGCUACUGGCUUGCUCUAUAUUGCUUUUAAUAUGUUUAGGUGUGGGCUUUGAAUUUCUGAUCUUUCCAGGACUUUAUUCAUGAAGGGGUGUUGAAUUUAGUCAAAUGCAUCUUAGCCGUGAAUUGAGUGAUCAUGCUGUUUUUUCUUUGAGUUUGUUUAUAUAGUGGGUUACCUUGAUGGAUUUUCAUAUAUUGCACUAUUCCUUCAUCCCUGGGAUGAAGCAUACUUGAUCAAGAUGGAUGAUCGUUUUGAUGUGUUCUUGGAUUUAGCUUGCAAGAAUUUUAUUGAGUGUUUUUGGGUUGAUAUUAAUAACGGAAUUUGGUCUGAAGUUCUCUUUCUUUGUUGGGUCUUUGUGUGCCUUAGGAUAAGCAUAAUUGUGGCUUCAUAGAAGGAAUUUGAUAGUGCUCCAUUUGUUUCUAUUUUGUGGACUCCAGGGGGCAGUCAAUCAUCAUUUCUUUAAUUGAUAUUUUUAAAAAAAUAUUUAAAGCACUUUAUUUAACAGUGUGGCUAGUAGUCAAUCCACAGUGGUGCUUGGUAAUCUCACUAUAGGAAGUUUGAGCCUUAAUUAUGUCUUAUGGGAAGAAAGGCAUUAGAGGUGUAGAGGUUCUUGACACUUAAAGCUCCAGAAUCCAGCUGUUACUAAUGCAGAUACUCACGCAGGGUUGUAGGUAUAAAUAUUGGAAAUUUAAGCCGAUGAAAUAGGAAGAUUGCACUAAAUUUUACAAGAAGGUUCCCUGAGGGGGUUAAUAGGUGUCCUUAGGUAAAUUUGGGAAACCUGGGGUCAAGUUAAGUGGAUUACUGCUAUCUGUCCCAGAGGUCUACCUUCAUGAAUAGCAGUGUCUCUUUUCCUCUCCUUGUGAUCAACUCUGUAAGCACAUAGGUUAUUGUGUCCUUCUCACUCUGCCCUGAAGACACAGAGCAGGUUGCAGCCUGUCCCUGUCUGUCCAACUGUCCAUUCAGUGACUCACACACUAUACCCAUUUUCAUCUCUGGUCCUCCUACGGUACGUUUAGAGUUUGUGGUCCAGCUCUUCCCCUCUCUUUGACCUCCUCUCCAUCGCUUGGAGGUCAGCAGCAAUGUGAGACCCACUGCAAGUCCUUCCUGGGCUUCUCUUUGAGCUGAUGCCCAAGACACUGUGCUGGGAAGCCAGCCCAGGAUGCACCCUGGGGUGGGUGUGGCUGGCCCAGAAGGAAGCUUCCCUGAAAGGUGGGAAGACCAAGUGCUGUCUUCUCCAGCAUUCACAUGGUUAAGGUUGUAAUCCCUGAUGUGAUAUCAUUUGAGGGAAAGUUAAAGAGGUAAAGAGGGUGGGGCUCUGAGACCUCAUGGUGGGACUAAUGGCCUGAUUUUUAAAAAGAGAUCAAAACUCAAAAUAUAUAGUUCUUUGUGAACCUAGCCUUUCACAGCUGAACUAUCUCUCCAGCCCUAUACUUAACCAAGACGCUAUUUGCAAUUAAUGCCCACUUGUAAGGGGAAAUUCAGGUUUCUCCAGUGAGGUGUCACUGGGCAUAUCAACCACACUUAAGAGCAGGUUCAGGAGUAGUUGUCCAACACAAAACAAACUCAGUGUUGGUAUAGUUUCUGUUUUAUUUUGGCCAUUUUGUCUUGGUUUUGUUUGUUUUGAUUUUCAUCUUUUUGGGUGUUUCUUUUUGUUUUUCAGAGAGAGGGAGGGAUGGAGGGAGGGAGAGAGGGAGGGCGGGAAGGGAGUGAGGGGGGGAAGAAGAGAGAGGAAGAGAGGAAUAGCAGUAUUAAAAAGAGAAUUAGUACCUAUAGAAAGUUUAGGGCAGAGGAGGAGCUGGGAAGGGCUAGUAUGCUCGCAUGGACUGGGAAAUAUGGGAUGGGUACUUGUUAUACUGAAGGAGCCUGAAGGCCAGCGUGAGCAUUGGUGUGCUGACAGAUACCACAGGUAGCCAUUUGUCUCUCUGCCUUUCAUAGAUAGCAAUGAGUUUCACAAUUCCUGAGGGAUGCUGGCUAUUAUCUAACCACCAGAAACCCUCCUGUAGUCCAGGCUGAGCUCAUACCUGGAUAUUUGGACUGCCUCUUGGAGUCAGGGGAAUUGGAGUUUCCUUUGGCUCUGACAGUGAACUUUAUUUUAAACAUGAAUACAGUCAAGUCUUGUUUAUCUAUUUUGUUUUUGAUACUGCAGUUUUGGAGUCACAGACAGGAAAACUGCCACAUACAAUGUCAUGAAAAUUUACACCUAUGUUUUAAUGUGUGAGUUUUAUAAUGUUAGCUCUUUUUAUAACGUAAAAAAAGCUUUAUUCAUUUUAUGAGUACACUGUAGCUGUCUUCAGACACACCAGAAGAGGGCAUCAGAGCCCCAUUACAGAUGAUUCUGAGCCACCAUGUGUUUCCUGGGAAUUGAACUCAGGACCGCUGGAAGAGCAGUCAGUGCUCUCAACCACUGAGGCAUCUCUCCAGCCCAUAACUUUAGCUCUUAACUUUGACUCAGUUACUUAUUCAAGUUAGUUAUGUGUUUAAAGUGUGAGGUGUAGGUUACACGGUAAGCAAUUUGACUUCAUCCAAAAAGAUAGCUAGUUUCUUUUCUCACCUUGGUAGUCUAUGCCACACAUGAUGGGAGUCUCGUAUUUCAGUAGAAACUGACCACAUUUAAAAGGCUACUCAUGUGAUUCCAAGUGGAGUCUGACCAUUCCAGAAAGCCAACUAUGUAAACCAGGGGACGAUGAGCCACAUGGUUCAGUUGAUCUAGAGACCAGCUUCCAUCAUGUUACCAAUUAGUCAGUCUUGUGCAUGUAAUAAAAACCCAGUUCAGACUCUGAAAAUAGAAGCUUAGAUGUACUCUCUUGCCUGUGUGUGCUCUGUGAUUUUUACUCGUUAGUGCCCGGAGUUGUUCACGUGCACUUACAGGAAGAAGAAAAACUUGUUUGGAACCUCCUCAGGAAGACUGUCCUGUAUUUUGCUACUUUGGCUGGUUUGGAUCUGCACACUUUCUCCAUGAUAAAUAGUGUGAUUCAGUGAUUAUAGUGAAGUGUAAGUAUAGCAAAUUAUGAAAGCGGGAUGUGGAUUGAGGGAAGACUGUGAACUUGUAGGAGGUAUCAGUAGUUAGGCUUCUCAUGUGUCUUGUUCUUUCUAAUCUUGUAAUUGGCUUUGAAAGACGACAGGUGGUGGCAGAAGCAGGGUUUGUGAGCCCAAACCUGACUUGUUAGAGCAUGCUAGUGGGAAAAAGAAACACGACCAGGCUGGUUUGGGAAACUUUGAUUUCUGGGUGGAUGCAGAGUUACUUGUGAUGUGGAGGUGCAGUUUUCUGUGUCAGUUACUAGGAGACCUUUCCAGGGCAAUUGUAAAGUGAUACAACAUAGUCCUAAGGAGCUGUCUCACUGCUUGCGUAGGAAAUGAAGAGGAACAAGAAGGAAAUGGGAUGUGUAGUCUCUUAGUCAUUUUUAUCUGUCAUAGCUGGUGGAUGGAAAGGAAAAUGCUGGGGUCAAUUCUGAUGCUGACUAAGACUUAGCCUCUAGCUACUUUUAUGUAAACUUUAAUUUAAAAUGUAAUUUUAUCACCCCCUCCCUCCCCUCUCCUUCUUCUAACUCCUCACAUGCCCACUUGGUCCAUCUCAAAUUCACAUCCUCUUUUUCUUUAAUCAAGAUUGUCAUAUGUAUGUACGUAUGUAUGUAUAGAUAGAUAGAUAGACAUAUCUAUAUAUAUAUAUAUAUCAUAUGUUAUAUCAUUGAUGAUUCAUAUAUAUGCAUAUAUGAUACAUAAAACACAUAAAUAUAUAAAUACAAGUAGCAGAAUUGUUUUCUGUUAUUUGUAUGAAUGUUUUCAGGGAUAACCACCUGGUAUUGGAUAACCAAUUAGGGUUCUUGUCAUGAGGAGGACUAUUUUCUCUCACUCUCAGCUUUCCUUAGCUAGCUGUAGUUCCUUGUCUAAGGUUGGUACCUUGUAAGGUUUCCCAUGUCUAUUGGUCUAUUAGCUUGUGGAGCACCCUACAAAGGAUGCAGUUGAAAUUAAACUAAGAGAAAGGAUAUACGUAAGUCUUCAUAUUGGGCCAAUCUUAGGCCCAUUCUGGACUAAGAACUUCACGGCCUGUUCUAAAGGAAAAUGCACUGUUGAACCCAUUGUGAAGAAGCUCAGGAUGUUUUACAAGACAGUGGAUAAGCAAAGAGGAAAAUAAAUUUUAAAAAUCAUCCAGACAGAGUCAAAGGACAUUAUUAAUAAAUGGGAUGCAUAAAGAAACAUGACUGGAGCCAAAAUCAAAGCCACAGUGCUACAGCUCAGAAGGCAGCUAGACAGAGGCCACCUUCCAGGUCUCCAUACAGAAAGGCUCUAAGCAAAUUAAGUUAGUUGUUGGUGUUAGGGAGAGAGUCAAAGGACCAUCAGAUGCAGGUGUACAUGAGCCUUCUAACUGGGGCAAACCUCACUCUGUGAUGAGCAGGGUAAGUAGUAAGGCUGGAGAAUCACGUUACUAGACCAAGUAGCAUAAUAGGAGUCUAAGUAUUUAAAAAACUAAAUCCAUUUAAACUACCUAAAUGAAACAAUUAGGUUUCAUUCAGAUAUAAGCAAGAAUAACAGGAGAUCACGGUAAACCCUAAGCUAACCCUAGCUCUUUCUAUUGAUUGCAUAAUGGAUAUACUAGUUGUUUCCUGUGGCUUCGUCUGUAGUGUAACCAUGGAUACAAAGGUGGAGCAGCCUGAGUGGAGCUAAGUCACAGUUUGGGAGGGAGUGAUAAUUGUUGACUUCAUGCUUUUCUGUUGUUGUUGUUUUGUUUUUUUUUUUCUUGAGUAACUUGGGAUAUGUUUCCUAGUAGGAUACAAUCACCACUGUAGAGAACACCCACUGUCCAUCUUGCAGUUUAUAGGAUUGUGAAAGAGCAGUGUCUCUCUACUGGGGUAAUCAUUUUCCUCCAGAUAGAUCGAUCAAGAUCUAGAGCUAUUUUGUCACAGCUAACAUGAGAGUUGGGCAGUAAUAGCUCAGUAAGUAAACACCAGGACACCUUUAAAGACCCUACAGUCCAUGGGCUGCUCCUUCCCCUCCGACAAGUACAUUUCCAGCUUACAUUUUCAAGAGUGAAAAGUUUAACACCCUCCCCAACCUCUGUUACAUUGCAGAUCUAUAUACCCAGGGUAAAAACCAAACUGUACAACCAAACCAAUGUCUCUCUAGCUGGGUUUCAUGCACCAAUAAAAAGUGUCAGUUACAGUAUCCUCAUGCCUACUCUUUCUUCAUAACUGACAGUGUAUUUACAGAACACCUUCAUUGCAAAACCAACUGUUUACAUUACUUGCAAUAUAAUGUCAACAUGCUAACUAUAGCCCUUCUUCAACUGUAGAAACUCAGUCCCUUGGGCCAGGAUGGGCUCCUCCACCAACUAAGCAAGGAUAUUUUUGGGUCUCCCUUGUGGGUGCUGUUGCUGGUAGGCAGUAGGAUAAAAAAAAUGAUACAGAAGCCCAGGAAAGGCAUAGAGGGAAUCAUUAAAAUAGUAAAGAUCUAGCCAUAUAAGCAAAUUCAGGGAUCCAACCCAGUGUUUCUCUUCUUUCCAAGAUAGGAGGAUGAGAAAAGGAAAAUCUACAGUUGCCAAGGCAGGGAGAGCCAGGUGAUCUCCAGGCUGUCAUCCACAAGUCACCUGACUCUUUAUCCUGCUCAUCACAGAAUGAGGUCUGCCCAGUUAGGUUCAUGUUACUCCUGGGACCUGUGGUCAAGCAUGGUACACUGUUCUUAUAGUUCUAUUUUAUGGGGAAAUUUGGCCCAGAGGAAAAUAGAGAUAUUGUCUGAGUCUACAGGGCAAGAUCUGAUUCUGAAUCCCUUAAGUCUGAUUCUUAGAUGAAGAUCGUUAACCUUGGAGAUAGGGAAAAUAAUACCAUGAAUAUUUCAAAAUAUUUCUAAUACCUCUAUCCCUAAUUUUGGAUUUAGAUGUUCUUACAUUCAGUUUGUUAAUUAAUGAGUGCAGUGGGCAGAGCCUGCCUCAGGACCACAGUAGUGGGUAGGAAAGAAACAGGUGUGUCUGUCUCUCACAAAGUACAUGGAAGAGAGGGAAGUCAGAGAGGUGGACUGUUAAAGCUGAUCUGUGGUGAAAUUCAGGAAACACAGAUGUCACAACGUUAACUAUUUUAAGGAUACAGUGACAUUAAGUGACUAAACGCUACUGUGAAACCACCAUCACCAUCAUUCCUAAAAUGUGCACCACCAGAAAUAAGGAUUCUGUAUUAGUUAAAGAGUAACUCAGUGCUUCUCCUCUAGAGCUCCUGAUCCACUUGCUUACAUUUUAUGGAUUUGCCUGUUCCUCAUACAUGUGAAAUCAUGAAACAUUUGUUCUGUACUAAUAUAUCACUUAUUUACCCAUGUUGUGGUUUCAUAUAAAAAUCCAUUCUUUUUAAAGAGCUGAUUAAUAAUAGUCCAUUGAAUGGAUCCAGUACAUUUCUGUUUGUCCAUUUGUUGGAUGACACCUAUUUGACAUCUUUCCAUCUAUUUUUAUAUGAGCAUUAGUUUACAAAUAUCUUAAUUAUGUUUUUACUUAUUUACUCUGUGUGCGUCUUUGUCUGGGUCUGUGUGGUGUGUGUGCAUGUGUGUAUCAGAAGACAACUAAAGGGAAUUAGCUUCCUCUCUCUACCAUAUGGGUCUCAGGGAUCAAACUAUGUCCGUCAUGCUUAGCUCGGCUGUCAACCCUUAAGGUCCUCUUUGGCAUAUAUGUAGAAGUAGAAUUGCUGGUAAUUUCUGUGUUUAAUAUUUCUGUGGGGGUGGUGAGUGGAAAUGAUUAUGGUGUGCUUUUCCAUGAGGUGUUGUGAUGCUUAAUCUCAGUUGUCAACCUGAUGAAUGUGGAAUCAUCUGGGAGAUCGAGUCUAGGUGGUGCCUGUGGGGGAUUCUGUGAUCUUGCAUCAUGUCUAGCACCAAUGGUAGAGCACAUGACAAGGUGUAAGAGCCGUUGUCCCGUUUCCUCGCUCUCUGUUUCCUGACUGCGGCUGUGAUGUGACCAGCUGCCCUAAGCCCCUGAUGCUGAGCCUUCUCUAAUUAUGGACAUAACCUUGAACUCUGCACCCUUAAGUUGCUUUUGUUGGGUAUUUUUAUCAUAGCCAAAGGAAAAGCCACCAAGAUAGAUGAUUGGCAACCAGAAAAUUUUUUUUUUGCUUUUAUUUUUCAUCUUGAAAAACAGUCUGUAAUAUUUAUGCUCCUAUAGAACAAACAGAACACUUCAUAACUUCUACAGCUCAGACCACAUGACUGGGGCCAAUUAUUGCUUCCCCAAAUAAUACUUUAUCCCCCACUCUGGGUUAUUCUAUUUUUUUGCCUGGUAGAACUUGGGCAAUAAAGAGGUAACCUGUCUCCUGUGAACCUUUUAUUUUAACACAAAAAUCACAUCCCAGCUACCUGGACCUCUCAUUCCUUCUAGGGAGGAAAACUUGAAUAGAAUUGUUCAUUGACUCAGCCCACUCAGCCACCUAGCGCGGGUGAGUCAAGACCCUUUCCUUUCCGAUAUUCGUUUUUACUUUAUUAUCAUGUGCAAAUGCUAUAGAUGUUUUCUAGGCAUCUCCAAACUUCUUUAAAUGACUCAUGUGUUUAUAAAUACUUUGGCUAUGGUAUUUUAUUUCUAGCAAGUAUUUCCUCAUGAUUUUUCAAAAACCAUUCAAGUCAUAUACUUUAAAAAGAAGAUCAUUCUUUUUCUUGGAUGAGGGAGAUAGUUCAGUUGGUAGACUGCUUGCCUUCCAAGAAUGAAGACAACCUGAUUUUGAUUCCUUAAAUUCACAUAAUAAAGUCAGAUGUGGUGAUGCAUGCUUUUAACACCAAGAUAGGGAAGAGGAGGCAAGAGAAUAACUGCAUGCCACUGUUGGUCUGCGUUCUGCUCACCUCAGGGCAGGGAUGGCAGCUCAGGAGGCAAAACAUCUUUGGUUGGGGAGGGGUUUGACUGUGCUUACCCAGCCAUAGCCAGUUGGGUGCUGGGUUUCAGGGAAGACUCAGCUCCAGGUGAGGGAAAGCACAGUCUGAGAUGUGUGAAAGCCAGAGCUGGUUCAGGGGUCUUUGGCCUGCAAUGAGGGUGGUGCUGCGGGGUUCCUCUGACUCUCCGACAUCCAGAUGCUGCUGGGAGUCUUGGAACAGCCUAGAACUGAGUCAGAGGACCUGCAGGCUGAGGACAGCAUCUAGCCUGGGGCAGGAGUGGUGGAGUAGGGAUGGAGGAAGAGGGUUUCCAGCUUAGCUGCUGUGACUGUCCUUAGCUUGGUGGUGGUUGUCUGGGAGUACAGAUGAGCCUUCUACAGGAGACUUAGCUGUGGUUCUGUAGGCCUUUUCCACGCUGCCCUGGUGGAUCUUGAUGAAAGACAGCCCAUGUUUCUAAACUGUUCAUUCAUUAUUCAUGGCAGAAAAUGGAUCCAUACCCUACAUCUCAGGGUGGACCCAAGAUUAAAUACCUUUUGGAUGGAGGAAUGUCUGGAAGGGAAGCUUAUUGGCCAAGUCCUCAGGGCCUCUAGGUACCUCAUUAGCAUGGAGAACUCUGCUCUGGGCCCACAAGACUACAGGCCAGGUUUCCUUAUGUGGGGAAUGUGGCACAUGUUCCAGGCCAGGAAUCUGUCACCUAAGUCUCAGGUGUGUGCCCACCAACUCUCUGGGUCUCAAACUGCUCCACCUUAGCAAACUUUCUGGUGUUGUUUUACCAUCCCACAUUCCACUAGCCACCGCACUAGCAAAUUCUGGAUUUCCAAACAAAUGAGAAAACAUUUGGUAAAUGGCUCCUGAGAAACAACAACCAAUGCUGUUCUAUAACCAAUUGUCACACACACACACACACAGACACACACACACAUACACACAUACCAUACUUUUCUCUUUUUUUAUGAGCAACGGUUUUACCAAGGUUAUCUCUCAGGAGACUUUAUAACCAUUCCUUUGAUUAAUUAAUAUUCAUUUAACAACAGAGAAAUCAAUAUUUGGAUUCCAUAGUUCCCAUUUUAUAACUGGAUCUUGUAUUUUAAUUAGGAAUAUUGAUGAUGCCCAAUAUAAACGUAACAUAUUUCCAUAUUUCCUUUCUUACUUUGUAUUUAAGAUAUGUGAUAAUGCAUGUGUGUAUGAGAGACCCCAUAUCUUGAUGUGCACUUGUCCAUUCUUUCACAAAGAUAGUUUAAAGUAGUAAAAGUGUGGCCAAGUACUUUUAUGGUUAAGAAAUAAGGGGAGCAUUAGGACAAGUUUUAGUGACAGAGCACUAGGCCACACUCACUGCUGUCACCCACCUUGCACUGUCCUCAUGUGCGUUUUGCUGAACGAGCAAUCCCUUUCUCCCAGGAUGGUAGCAUUUUCGUCUUUUUACACCAUCUUCUUAUAACAGAGGAUGUAGUUCACUUCUGCCUUGUUUGCCUACUCUCUCAAAAUAUGACAAUGUGACAGCUGAGUGGGAAAGGAGCUGAAGGGUUGGUCAAAAGCUACCAAGGGUCUCAGCCAGAGUGUCUUCCUUCAACCCACCAUUGUGAGUCACGGUUCCUCCUGACUUUAAGUCAGUGACCUUCAGGAGGAUUUUAGGUAACUUUCAAGGCUAGGUGAUAUGACAAGGGAUAGCAUCUUCCUGACUCUUCCAAAACUCCUUUGACCUAGUACGAUGCUGUAAGGAAUCUAAGUGAGCACAUGGAGAGGUCAUCCAUGACUGUUUAGCAGAUAGCUCCAGCUGAGGUCCACGUUAAUGGCAGUCAGCCAGCAUCAGCUGCUGACCUGAGAGUAACACAGGCUGCUCUUGCCCUCUAGGUUUAGACCUUCUCCAGUGACCUGAUGGAGCUGACAGACAAAUUGCAGACUAAUGAGCUAAUACUAAUACCUCUUGUGAUUUUAAGAUAAUUGACCUACUGGUCACUGCACAAAGCUUCCUGCAAGUGCUACAUGGUCCCACUGCACAGAAGUCCCACUCAGUCCUUUCCACCAUAUAAUAAUUAGGUACUGUGUUAUGACCAAUCAGCCUUUCCUGCCUGUAAAUCCCCCACCCCACCCCACAAAAAAACCUCUGAGGAAAGUCACACAGCCUAUGGCCAGAUUACAGCUUCAGCUUCCUCUUGCCUGAUAAGAACUUGCCAGUUGGUUCUCGGAAUUCCUCUUCAUGUAAGUGAAUUGUCCCAGCCCUAGCCAAUAAUGGAGACCUACCCUGAAAAUCCCUACCCACUCCCCAAGAUCUACCUUGUUCACUCCAAUACAGUUGAUUUGUCUCACUGAAGCUGUUUCUGGAGGUACUCAUGGCUAAACUCUGCCCCCCUAAAGGCUGGAUAAUAUUCCAGUAUGCAGACACAUUACAUCACAAACUUUUCCAUUUGGGUGUAAGUCCAACUCAUUCAUUCAUUCAUUUAAGCAGGGCCCCAAAAAGUAGACUAGGCUUGUCUCGAACUGGUAGUGGGCCUCCUGCCUUUGCCUCUUAUGUGUUUGAAGAGAACUGUCAUGUGCCACAACGGCUGUCUCUUACUUUUUCACUCCACUGCCUCAUCCUUUUGUUGCCAUAUUUAAGAAAUUACAGACAAAUGUUAAGUCAAGGAGACUUGUGCCUGCAUAUUCUAAGUUUUAUCUCCAUCUUGAGUUUUAUUGCAUACGUUGGUAUAUGAUAAGAGGAAAGGGUCCAGCUUCACUCUUUUGCCUAUGAGAAAUUUAGCCUUCUGAGCCCCAUUGUUCAUGGUGUUGGACAUCCAUGGAAAGGAUGACUUCCUGACUGUAGAUUAUUCCAUAGCAUGCUAUUAAUUAUUCCUCAUCCUCCCGUAGUGCUGGAGAAAUGCGUAUCAUUUACUCCUUGCCCAGACCUUCCUUUAGAGAACCCGUCCACCUCACAGCUCCAGAUAGGCAAUCUCAUGACUCUUGGAUGUGGUUGACUGACUACUUCAUGGAGACAUACUCAGCCAAAGCUGACUUAUCAGGCUUUACUCUGGAUAUGUGUUACCCACAAAGAUCCAUUAUGAAUUCAGUUAGCUCUCAAGGAUUGCACUGUAGGAGAUAGUUUGGUGUAGGGUCUGGUGGAAGAUCUUUAGGUCACUGGGGAAAUAACCCAAGUGUAGGAUCUUUUCCUCAAGAGACCCAUUGAUGUAUAGACAGAGUAGAUAUAAAAGCCUGAGUUUGGCUUCACCCAAGUUCCCUCUCCGUUCCCUCUCCAUCCUCCUCUCCCUUCCUCUUCUUUUCUCCUUCCCUGUCUCAUUGCUGCUGCUUCCUUAAACAAGAUAGAUCAUUCCUCUCCCCACAGGUCACACUUUGACAUUCACCAUGAAGCCCUCAGUCAGAAUUCAUUAUUGGUGACUUUUGUCUUCUAUAAUAUCAAAUGUACUUUGCAAACAACACCAUACCAAAUGACUAUGCUAAUGAGAAAACAAACAAAAUGUAAACAAAUAUUCUCAGGGUUUGGUUCUUAUGGGUGGAUUGAUGUCUAUGUGCAGAUGAGGGCAGGCACAAGAUAAGGCAAGGCCUGUGAUUGGGCAGUGAAAAAGUAAGGAGGGCACAAAGAUUUGAAGAGAGGAGAGCGAGAAAGGAGAAGAACCAAGAUGGAGGAGGAGAAGGACAAGCCAGGUCUGUGUGGCCUUAAAGGGCCACAGGUAGCAAGUUGGGUUGAGAUGCUUUGUUGAUUAAGAUGCCGUGUGACCUGCUGGAGCCGGCACUGGUGUGGGUUGAGAGAUUUUUUUUUUAAUAUUUACCGCUACACUUAUGCUAAGUAUCUAGUCAGGAAUCUUAUAAAAACUGCAGAAAUUAUAUUUGAAUUUAACAGUCAUAACACAGUUCUUUAACUGUUGUUUAAAUAGUCUUUAAGUGUUACCAUUGAUUUAGAAUUGGCUUAGUAAUGAGGCAUAUAAGCCUCAAAUAAGUAUAAUUUAAAUCUAAGUGUAAUUUUCUCUCAAGAAGGCCAGGUCUCUACCCAGAACCUCUGUGUCCCGUGCCAUGGUGACAGGCAUCUGGUGCUGCUCUCCUACAACACAGCUCAGGGGCAAAAUUCUAAGAUCUCCUCAGCAUUCCUAUCAACUGGAGAGUCUAAGAAUGCACUUAAAGACACUUAUCCCAACUUGCUUCUAGUACUUCUGUUUAUAUCUUAUUGGGCAGAACCAAAUCAGAUAGGAUUCUGGGAAAUGUAGUUUCUACUGGAGGCAGCCAUGUCCCUGUCUAGAAUCUGAGAGUUUUGUUGCUAAGGUUGGUUGAGAUAACAGGUAGUAGAGACAAAUCGGAUUUGGUCAUACUUUGAGAUAAAAUGUGAACUCACUGUCAAUGAAGUCUUGACCAACCAGAUAUAGCUUGCUCUCCUGCUUCCUAAAGGGGUUUGAUGUUGCUUCUAACCUUUGUUUUGUUUACCUUUUCUCUCAGGUGGAGGACUCCAUCCCACCUUUGCACAUGCACUUACUGCUGGGAUUAAGGAACCCUGCAGUAGAUGCUCUGUCACCAUGAAUAUCUUCAUAUCUAAUAUCUAAUAUCGCUAAUACUUCUGCUUUGUAGCAACUAUGACCAUUGAAAGUGCAAGUUAUUUACCUUCUGGUUCACUUUGUUCUGCUUCAUCUUUAUCUUUAAGCCUCUAAGUCCUAUGAAUCAGGGGCUUGGUUUGGCUCAUGCCUGUAUUCCCAGCAUUAUACUAAUUAGUUUCUUAUUAAGUUGUCCCUACUCCAUGGGAAAACUCACGGUUUAUUUGAUUAAACAAAACUAAAAUGAUCUGCCUAGAAAUAAUUUUAAAGUCUCCCAUAGCUGAUCCAGCAACUCCUCUAUUCUUCUCCAGCCUCUGUGGACCACAGCAAUGUAUUCAGAAGCUCGUGACCUCACAUAAUAGGUUUCAGACAAUUCCUUACAGCUCCUUCAUCUGUUCACCGUCUGCCAUGCAACCCCCAAUGUUAUUAUUUAAGUUUUAAAGGAAAAAGAAAAACCAAAGGAAAACAAUGGCAGGAUAUGGGGAUUUGUAAUUGAAAAAAAGUUCAAAAAAGUCUUAUGGAAUCAACUAAUGAGCUUUCAGAUAGAACGACUUCAUGGAAUGACACAGUCUAGUUUUCUCAAUGUCACUGAAUGAAAGUUUCACUUCACAUUCAAAGUCUUCCUCAAAUGCCCUGGUUUCGUCCCCUGCCUUGGUAGGGACAGCAUGCCCCCUGAGCAUUUGCCCUGUCCUGGGCAGCCAGAGGCUUGCCGUGGCCGAGGACCAGUGUACUAUCUGCCAGUCUAUGCUGACCCAGCCAACAAAAACUGAGGAAGAGGGCACCUCAUGGAAGCUGUUGUACUCUGGGUGGUGCUGUGUUCCAAAAUCUGCUUUAGACACAUGUGUGCAGCAGAAACCUUGUUUUUACCCCUAAAGUGGCAUGUCAAAAAAAAAAAAUCAGGUACUUCUGCUUCUGAAUUGGCAGAGGAUUUAUUUUAUGCAUAAUUUUCCAUGUUUCUUGGGAAGAAAAGAAUGCACCUCUUUUAUAAGUGCUUCAUUCCUUUCCACCAAUGUGAGCCAUCUUGAGAUCUCUGCAGGAUAGAAACCAAACCAAAUGGGCACCGUGGGUUGCCCAGGGGCAGGGCAUGGGAGUGGGGUCAGAAGAAUAGAAAUCUGUCUGUCAAUCCUCUCCCCCUCUCCCCUUUUCACCCACAAAGGCAAAAGACUCUUUCAUUAGGGGCUCCACAGAUCCAAUCCAUCCCUGCUAGGUGAGCCUUUCCUAGAAACAAGCACAAAAGGGAUCUAGCAGCAAAGCAAGCACUGAGGGAGUGAGAUGGGCUACCAAGAGAGGAGAGGAAAAAAAUCAAUAAUGAAAAGGAGCAUUUCAGUAUAAUUUAAUCUUCUGUUUCAAUAAAGGCAUUUAUUACCAUAUAAAUGUAGCAAAGAGCCUGGGAUAAUAUGAAAAAUGAGUUUUAUUAGAUAAUUAUGAUACAAAAAUUAUAUUCAAUGAGAAAGUGACCCAAAAAAAACUUUAGAAAGUUUACUAUGUAGGUAGGGAGAGAAGAAAAUACAUUUCUAUUCAGAUUCAAAUUUUAAUUUUUUAAUAUAUGUUUGGGUUUAAGCUCUUUUUGCCCCCCACAUUUUCGGGGGAGAAAUAUCAUUUGAUUUUCUUAUGGGAGUAUUCUGGAUGGAGAGUAGAGAGGGGAUGGGAGGUGGUCCCUCCUAGGGCCCCGACAAUAGAUUUGCUUUCACUCUGUGGGAUCCCCUUCCCCCUUUCUGAACCCAACCCCCAGGAGAGUAAGCAGAGCCAAACAAAGGAAGGGAUUAAACAGAAAAGAAGUGUGGGACUAAAAACUGAGGGUCUUAGAGUUUCCUUCUUUCCCCUUCUCUGAGCAAUUGGCAGUUAGUAGGGAAAAGUCAGGUCUAACAGGCCUGGAGAAACCCUCAGAGGUGUGAGAUGUAAAGAAAUAGAUUUUUUUAACCAUUUUUUCUGUGGAUGAGAGGAUAAACUGAGGGAUUUAAAAGAAGAGAAUACUACAAAAUAAUUGAAAUUUAUUUCAUAUAAUCCUAGAGAAAGAAAAAGAAUUACUAGUUACUUAGUAGAGGAUAGUCAGAGAGCUUAAAGUUUAGUAGCAUUAUGGGCCCCUGAGCGAAGUAGAAUGGAGAAAAGUAUGGGGGAAUAAAAGAAUAGAGGCCAGUGGCUAAGCUGCCCUAACCCUGAGGACAGGGCUAGGGCAGGCUGUUAACUAGGGUUGGGAGCUUCCAGUCUGCUGGGGUUGAUUCUGAGAAUCCUUAGGUUUAAGUACAGGACAAGUACAUGAGAGCUCUGUCCCAGGGCAUUUGCAAGGGUCAUCUGAAUCUCGGUGAUUCAGGACCGAGAGCUUGACCAUCUAAAAGGAAACCUCUAUUCAUACUGUCCAAGACACCGAAGACAGCCUCUCCCAGGUUACCCUGACAAAGUCCUUGAAGUCACCUUGGUUCACCUUGCUACAAGGUUCAAGAGCCAGGUACUCAGAUACUCUGCCUUUAUCUCCACAAGAGGUUUCUCACUUUGGAACAUGGAGUUCCCAAGUCAGGUUUUCUCUGUGUAGCCCUGACUAUCCUGGAAUUCCCUCAGUACACCAGGCUGGCAAGUAACUCAUGGAUCCACCUGCCUAUGUUGCUGGAAGUAAAGGUGUGCACCUCCACCACAAGGCUUCCUCAAGGCAUUUGUAAUCAUUCAACUACCAAAUGUGGAGAGUCUAGUGACCAUCCCCAGGCACCAGGCACAGGGAUAGCAGCUAAUGGGAAGCAGGCCCAGUAGCCCAAGCGAACAAAGUUCAGAGGGGCAGGAGGAAUACAUGUAGACACUCUACACAGCAGGGUGAUGUGAUGGGCCCCUGAGCCCUGUAGAAUGGAGAAAAGUAUGGGGGAAUAAAAGAGUAGAGGCCAGUGGCUAAGCUGCUCUAACCCUGAGGAUACCAUAGCAAUCUCUCCUAAGGUAUUCAGAGCAAAGGAUUCCUUGGCCCCUAGCACCUAAAAUAGACAGCAUGGACAGCCAUAACCCCGUGGGUGUGAGGGACGUGGGAAGGGAAUCAGCCAUGUUUGGAUUCUUUUCAGAGUUAAAUCCUAAUGGCUCCAUAUUCUGUGUGCAGGCCCUAGCCUAUUGACCUCCACAGUUGAACAGUGAAGAGGCAGGAAGGACUGAGGCUGCAGUUGACCUGGCCCAUGGUGAAGUCCUGCACUGGAUAACAGUCACUGAGAAUACCUUGGGAAGGAAUAUGAAGGUGUCCUGAGGAGGCAGAUCUAGGAGUGCACUUUUCCUUUCUAGAAGGCUGUCAACAAAACUGAAACAGGACUCUGGAGACAUUCCUGUCUCCUAUGAUUUAGAUGAUGGAAACUAAGUGUACCAAAUAAUGAAGCUUCACUAAGAGCCUGGACAGAAGGUAGCUUCUGUACCAGGUGUCACUAAACCAGUCACAGAAUGCAGGGGAAACAACAUCAGGCCUUUGGCAUCAGGCUCUAGAGAGUACUGCUGUAAGGUCUAGUGAAAGAAUGCUGACAUAGGUGAACUGUCCUACCGUCCAGAAAUUACAGCUAUGACUGAGACAUUUAUAGUAACCAAAGUUUUGAUUAAUGCACAGCUCCAUGCCCCUGAGAAUGUGAUACCUCAGUCCAAAGGAGGGCAGACCUGGCUGAAUUGGACAGUGCCCAGAAUCUCCUGUGUGGAAGGCAAUAUGCAAGCACAGACCUAGGACAGUCACAGUGACCUCAGAGGAUUAGGAAAAGAAAGCACAAUCCUCAGUACAGCUGGAUCAAGAUACAUCCAGGUGCAAGGAAGACAUUUAGGAUGUCUGUUCUGUGAAUAUAAAUUUGAUCCUGGCAACUUGGUAGUCCUUAAUAAAACUAAAAUUCUGUCUUCUUUGGCCCUCUCCAAGUUUGCAGAACUGCCUUUGAUCCUGGUCCAUGCAUGGGUCAUAAAAAUCCACCCUUCCUUGAGGCAGAGACUUGCAACCAGACCCUGAAGAUGUGUGAAACCUCCUGGCAGCUGUGAUGCUGGUGAUGAUCCUGUUUAAGUGAGCCAUAGACUUCAUUAAAUCCACUGGUGCCACGGACCACUCAGACGGAGGAUACCACUGUGGGAGAAGGAGGGCUCUGGUACUCAGGAAGGCACAGGUUUGGUGCAAUGACAGACAGACACAACACACUCAGGGUGAUUUGAAUCUGCUGCGAUUUUACUAAAUUUCUGCUUUGUGGUUAUAUACAAUGCUUGAACAGGAGCUAAUUUUUGGCCCCUUGCCAGGGUACAGUCAAACCAUAACAAAGAAAAAGUUUAACAGUUUAAAUGAAGUUCAGAACAGAAAGCAAGACAGGAAAUAAACUUUCCUGAGAAUCGGACUGGUGCCAGACGGUGGUCAUAAACCUCAUUUACCUCCAUCUCUAAAUAUCAUCUCUCGGAUAACAACAGGACAGCCAGCUGUAAGGAAUCUUUAGUCUUUUACUCUCUCUUAGCCAAAAUUUAUGUAAUCGUCUUUUUAAAGGUAGGAUAAUUCCUUUUGAUAAUAGGCAAGCAGGGGGAUGUGAUCUGGCCAAGUGUUUUAUAAAAUUUAAAGAAAAAUAUAAUACUCUCUUUCCAUCAAUAUUAACCCAUCUAUCACCUUCUUCAUUAUAUGUCGCUGUGUAGGGCAAUGGCUGUGCAGCGGUCCUGUAUCUACUCAGGCUGUUUUUACCUGGAGGAGGGGCCCACCACCUUCCUCUAAUUAAAUAAUGUUUUUUUUCCAUGUAACUACUUGAUAGGAAUUCCUAAAUGUAUGGAUUUUUUUUUUUAUAAUUGACGGGACUUUCCCCUCUAAUUGCUAGUGCCUUGAUUCUUUCACUAUCUAGGAGGUCUGGAUUAUCCACAGUUCAUUCUUCCUGUUAUAAGUUAUUGAUCACAUCUCUUAGAGUUUCAUUCUGAUUCUACUUAAUUUUUGCUAGUGCUUUCAAAAGAGGCAUGGUCCGUAAAGCCCAAAUCAGGUCUCGAUGUUCCCAUUAGUAGAAAAAGGAACAAAGGGGCCUGUUCAAAUCAGUAGGCAGAAAGUCGAGAGGAAGUGGCCAAGUGUCUCCAGGAGACCAGGUUCCGAGGAACACAUAUCUCUGGCCUGCUGACCACGAUUGUUUCAUGUCAGACAGGCUCCACUGGAGCUGGCCCAGCACUAUUUCAUGUGGGCUUUGCUUCCCAGGUGAGCAAUCGUUUCUCAUGGGUGAAUUGAGACCCAUUCCCUGCACGUGUGGCUGUAUAUAUCCAGGCAACUACACCAGAUCCCCUCACAUAAGCUUUCUGUUCCUUGCCUUCCCAACUAAGCUGCUUGAUUCAUGAGUGCAGCUUCCAAAAUUGAACAGAAUUAGUUUCUGGUACUGUAUAACAAGGAGGCAAGUCUCAUUACCUUGUAUGACACCUGAGAUUUAGAGCCAGACCUAAGCACAUGAAGUCAACUUUAAAGAGUGCAGACACGUGACUCUUUGUCCAGCCCACGUGGUGUUUUUAAGAAAGCACCAUCCAGAUCUACAAAAGGUUAUCGUAGGAAAGAAACAGUCAUUAUUCUACAGGACUAGAGGGCACAGUUCACAGGAGUGGGUAGAAGUAGGGAGGAGACCCAGAAUAUAGAGGGAUAGACAGAGCUGUCCCGCAGAGUAGAGUUCACCUUCCAUGCUCUUACUCAAAGUGGGCAGAAAUCCUGGCAAUAAACAGAACCCUAUAGCCUUCAACCUUCCCAUUAGAUCUCAGAUUCCUUGUUUAUUCUUACUGAAGAAUAAACAAGGGUACAGCAGGAACACUCAUAUUCUCUAGGUCACAAGGCCAUAGUAGGAAAUGAAGAGCUGUAUAGGCAAAAUACAUUGGAAAGAAUUUAGUCACCAAGAGCAUGCACUAUGUAUGGCUUCUGUGUAUGUAACCUUCAACAGCAGUGCCCGUGCUGAUCAGUGCACAAGAUGCUGGCCCAGCCUAAAGGAAAUAGAAAAUCAAAAUCUGCAUGGGUUUGCACAGGGCUGAUACUGCUUUUGUCUUCAAGGGAACUAACAGGUUAUGAGCCAGACUGGCUGGGAGUGCGGAGUUCCAAUGCAUCCUUGCUUGAAGGGUUUAUGUCCUUCUCUGUGUAUAAACGGGCCAACAAGUGCAUGGGUGCUGAAAGUUGUUUAGACAAUCUUGACAAUCAAAUGACAGUACCUGGGGGAAACCCCAGUCUAAGACCUGUUACAGAACAGAUGUUCAAUAAAUAUGUGCAGUCAUCGGACUCUUGCUCUGUCAGCCUUGACUAUGCCAGUCUUUCAGAAACUUCAGAGGAGAACUAGGCCAUCUUUGAGUUUGUGCAUCCUGCUUGACACCUCUGACAUUUAUUAUCAUGAAUAAACAUUACUUCCAAAAUCCCAAGUGGAAAAAGAAUGGGGCUGAAGGCUAUAAACACCUGAGUGGAAGUAUGCCAGGUGUUACCCACCUUUGUGUGACAUUGAGUUUGUUAUUGACACUCUGUGUCCUUCAGUCGUAGGGCUCAUUCUGCUGACUCUGAGAUGACCCAAUGAACCUGUAGGAGACCCAGAACUAGGUGCUAAUCCUCCUUUGAAAGAUACUACAGGGACAUCUCAUUUUCUCAGGGUAGUAGUGCUUCUAAGUAGUUUUCUCUUGGUUAAGAUUCAUGUAGACUCACUCUUAAGAAAACAUGAGUUUUCAGCCUUUGUGUCUCCUAGAUCUUGUUCCUGCUCAAGCAAGCUACAGUAAGAUGUCAGCCUGAAUACAGUUUUAAAGUACCAAGAGCUGAAUUAAUUAUUUCUAGAUUGGGGAAAAUACAAAACUAAAACGUAAGGCCAGGUUCAGAGCACCGGAAAUUUCAGGACUGAAAGUUGAUCUCUUGGGUUUAUUCAUUUAUCCGGUUCAACAAUAUUUGAGGCAUUCUUAACCAUUUAGUGGCAUUCUGUAGAACCGAUAGUCAGUUUCAUUUGAAGCUCAGUCGUAGCUGGAAAGAUCUGGGAAAAAUUGGAAACAGUAAAUGAGCCUCAGAGUAGGUAGAGUGGCCAAUAAGGGGAAGUUAGAGAAGAUGUCAUUAACGGGUCCCUGAAGCUGGAUUUGUUAGGAAUUUGUGCUCUGAGCAAGGGAGAUUAGAUUCCAUCCCAUGUUAGAAGUUUUAAUCAAGGAGGCAACAUGGGUGGACUGAUUGACUAACUAGCUUUCUAUUAAUUUUAGUCAGGAUCUCAGGCUACCAUCCAACUCAAAAUUCCCCUAUCUCAGCCUCUGAAGUGCUGGGAUUGCAGGGAUAUGCUUUUAUGCCUGGCUGACUCUCUGUCUCAAUAUCUCUCUGUGUCUCUCUGUUUGCCUCCACUUCUCUUUGUGUGUGUGUGUGUGUGUGUGUGUGUGUGUGUGUGCAUGUAACUGUCAGAUCCAUGAUCCAUGAUCAAUAUACUGAACAGUUCCAUUUAUGCUCACAAUAUGCCUGCUAUCAUCCUGCCAUAGUCACAAACAUCUCACCUUUAACAACUGCAACCAUAGAUUUCAUCUCUAUCACAAUGUUGUGUCACCACAAAAUGUCAUAUGCACAGAUAUGUUUCAGUCAGUAAAGUGUGUGCUGUGCAAGCAGGAGAAACUGCAUUUGGAUUCCUAGCAGAACCUUACUUCUACCAUCACCAUGACUGCCAACAUUAAAGAAAAGUUUGGAAAAGCAGUAUAUGUCUAUAAUCCCAGCAUGAGACAGGGGUUGGGAGAGUGAGAGAGGUCCCUGAAGUUUACUCUCCUGUCAGUUUAGCUGAAUUGGUGAAUUCCAGGUGCUGUAAGAGAUCACGUCUCUAACAAACACACAACUAAAACCAUGAAGAGUGAUGUGGUAAGUAAUGUAAAAGUCAACCUGUGGGUGGCAUGCACACUUGCUCACACUCACAAGUGCACACUGAUACCAACACCUGUACAUACCUAUAGCACAGGCAUCUAUGUGUGGACACAGAUAGUUUUGGAUUGAUAGUUCCAUGCUCUAAGGCAUUGUAAAAGUCUGUGAGAAACUGUCAAACUAUUUCCAGAGCAGCUGUGCUGGUUUCCAGUCAGUUAGCAAUGCCUGAGUGUUCCAAGUGAUCUCUCCACAUCAGCACCUGGUAAGGCCUGCUAAGUAGUUUGGUCAUUCUAAUAGCUCAGGGCUCUCUCAUUGUAGGGAUUUGAAUCCCUACAAUGUGCUAGGUAUGUGGAAUAUCUUUUUUUUCUCCUUUUUUGUUUUUAUCUUUAUUAACUUGAGUAUUUCUUAUUUACAUUUCGAUUGUUAUUCCCUUUCUUGGUUUCUGGGCCAACAUCACCCUAACCCCUCCCACUCCCCUUCUAUAUUGUUGUUCCCCUCCCCAUCCUCCCACCACUACCGCCCUCCCCCCAACAAUCACAUUCACUGGGGUUCAGUCUUGGCAGGACCAAGGGCUUCCCCUUCCACUGGUGUCCUUACUAGGCUAUUUAUUGCUACCUAUGUGGUUGGAGCCCAGGGUCAGUCCCUGUAAAGUCUUUGGGUAGUGGCUUAGUCCCUGGAAGCUCUGGUUGGUUGGCAUUGUUGUUCAUAUGGGGUCACGAGCACCUUCAAGCUCUUCCAGUCCUUUCUCUGAUUCCUUCAACGGGGGUCCUGUUCUCAGUUCAGUGGUUUAAUGAUGGCAUUCGCCUAUGUAUAUGCUGUAUUCUGGCUGUGUCUCUCAGGAGCGAUCUACAUCCGGCUCCUGUCGGCCUGCACUUCUUUGCUUCAUCCAUCUUGUCUAAUUGGGUGGCUGUAUAUGUAUGGGCCUCAUGUGGGGCAGGCUCUGAAUGGAUGUUCCUUCUGCCUCUGUUCUAAACUUUGCCUCCCUAUUCCCUGCCUAGGGUAUUCUUGUUCCCCCUUUUGAAGAAGGAGUGAAGCAUUCACAUUUUGGUCAUCUUUCUUGAGUUUCAUGUGUUCUGUGCAUUUAGGGUAAUUCAAGCAUUUGGGCUAAUAGGCACUUAUCAAUGAGUGCAUACCAUGUAUUUCUUUCUGUGAUUGGGUUACCUCACUCAGGAUGAUAUUUUCUAGUUCCAUCCAUUUACCUAUGAAUUUCAUAAAGUCAUCGUUUUUGAUAGCUGAGUAGUAUUCCAUUGUAUAGAUGUACCACAUUUUCUGUAUCUAUUCCUCUGUUGAAGGGCAUCUGGGUUCUUUCCAGCUUCUGGCUAUUAUAAGUAAGGCUGCUAUGAACAUAGUGGAGCACAUGUCUUUGUUACAUGUUGGGGCAUCUUGUGGGUAUAUGCCCAAGAGAGAUAUAGCUGGAUCUUCAGGUAGUUCAAUGUCCAAUAAUCUGAGGAACCUCGAGAUUGAGUUCCAGAAUUGUUGAACCAGUCUGCAAUCUCACUAACAAUGGAAGAGUGUUCCUCUUUCUCCACAUCCUCGCCAGCAUUUGCUGUCACCUGUGUGUUUGAUCUUAGCCAUUCUCACUGGUGUGAGGUGAAAUCUCAGGGUUGCUUUGACUUGCAUUUCCCUUAGGACUAAAGAUGUUGACCAUUUCUUUAGGUGUUUCUCUGCCAUUCGGCAUUCCUCAGCUGUGCAUUCUUUGUUUAGCUCUGAACCCCAUUUUUACUAGGGUUAUUUGUCUUCCUGCAGUCUAUCUUCUUGAGUUCUUUGUAUAUUUUGGAUAUAAGAUCUCUAUCAGUUGUAGGAGUGGUAAAGAUCUUUUCCCAAUCUACAUUUCACUGAUGACUACAGAUGAACAUUUUAAGAACUCUAUCUUAAUUAUUUUUAUUUCACUGGAACCAGGUGACAUUUUAAUUUGUAAUUCAUUCUCUAUAUUCUAGAAUGGUUGUCAGACCUCUACAGAUAAGGGUUUCUGUUUGUUUUGUUUUGUUUUGUUUGUUUUUGGAUAGUCAAUAGUGGUUAACACAGAAUCUCACAAUUGCUCAAAGUGGAGGGAAUAAGUGCCUAUUUGGCACUUUACAAUUGAGUUAAGUGUGUGGUAAUUUACACUGGUUGUGUAGAUGCCCAUAAGAUAAGUUACUAAGGACCAUUCCUAAGUACAGACACAAUGCAGCCCUCAUUCCUCUCCUCAUUUUUCUCCAUAGUGGUUCUUUAAUGCUCCUCAUUUAAUGUUAUUUAUUUGGUUUUUAAAAUAAAUAGCACAAUAGGAAAUGUCAAAAAGGUAUACAGAGCUACAAAAGAAAACAUCCCUUUCUCUUUCUAUACCUCCUCGUUUUGUCCCGACCCACCCCAUUAACAGAAAAUCAUGAUUAAUGAUUUCGUAUGUAUACUUUCAGACUUAAUCUCAGUCAUGCACGGAUAUAAAUGUACAUGUUCUCCUACUUUCACUUUUCUCCUCAAACAUUCUAAACAAGGACUCUACUGCAAAGACUCCCGUUUUAACUAAAAGUAGGUAUUGCACUUGGUUUUGCAUGUGUGUAUGUGAGUGUGUGGAGGUCAGAGGUCAACCUGUCAGACUUGAUACUCUCUUUCUACCAUGUGGACCCUUAGGGAGGACUUUAGGUUGUCAGGCUUGACAAGAAGUGUCUCAUACUCCCAAGGCAGUCUCCCUGCCCACCCUCCCAUCCCUAUGUUUCAUUUUUUAAUUCAGCGGUAGCGUCUUACACACAAGUUGUGUGCUGCCAUGCUUCCUUUAACAAUACAUCUUGGAAACCUUUCUAUAAAGGAACCUUCUAAUGCUUUGAAGUAAGGUCUGGAUACAUAGAUCAGGCUGGCCUUGAACUCUGAACUUCCAGUCUCAGCCUCUGAACAUUACUAGGAACACGGAAGUGUGCCAGCCUGUCCCUACUUCUCAGCCUUUUUCUUUAACUAUUUUUGAGGUGAGUUCAUUAUACAGAUGUAUUCAUGGAUGGCUUCCAAUUCUUUGCUUUUGUUAUAGUGUGUGAGCUUUGCUCAUUAGUACCAGUUUACAUGAUUACGUCGUAGGAUAAAGCCCACAUGGCUUCUUUUCUGGCCUCUGAAUAUUUUUAGUUGAUGUGUUUGAGUCUGUUCCAAAGUUAUGCACAUCUUUCUUCUAUUAAAAACCAAAACUGUACACAAUACACAUAAUCAUUACACACCUGAGCACAGGAAGAUUACGUUUCGGUCUUUUUGUUCUUGCAACCACAUGGUGGCUCACAACCAUCUGUAAUGAUAUCUGUGCCCUCUUCUGAUGUGUCUGAAGACAGUGACAGUGUACUCAUACAUGAAGUAAAUAAUAAAUCCUUAAAAAAAGUUUUUAUUGUAUAUGAGUACACUAGCUUUCUUCAGAUACAUCAGAAGAGGGCACCAGAUCCCCCUGUAGAUGGUUGUGAGCCACUAUGUGGUUGCUGGGAUUUGAACUGAGGACCUCUGGCAGAGCAGUCAGUGCUCUCAAACUCUGAGCCAUCUCUCCAGCCCGACAUCAUCUUAAGAAAGCAUUUUCUGUGUGUGUGUGUGUGUGUGUGUGUGUGUGUGUGUGUGUGUGUGAGAGAGAGAGAGAGAGAGAGAGAGAGAGAGAGAGAGAGAGAGAGAAAGAAGAAUUCAGUAGAACACCCAAGUGGAAUCUGCUAAGACCCAUUCAUUAUACCUGAUGAUGGUAAAAAUGCAUAUGGAACAGAAAAAGGCAAAUUAACAAAAUGGUGAGCCCAGGAAACGUAGUAAAUGUUCAAGCUUAUGAUUAUUUAUUGUAUUAUUCACUAGCAGAUACUUUAAGAGUUGGACUGAGUUUCAAUUCUAGAAACUUAUAGUUUAGGGAGGUGGCAGCCCGCUGGCUCACACUGGUCUUGGAAACCCUUCCAAUGUAAGAGUUCUCACAUCUGGACUGUAACUAAGGCUGUCAGGUGAGAGAAGAGAUGGAAUGGUGGCUGAUAGCUGCUGGUGCUUGGCUCUCUUUUCUUUUAAAGCUAAAACUAGAAUUUCAAACUCAUCUGAAACCUAAACAAGUGUUUGGAAUUUCUGUUCUUUCCACAUCACAACUGCCCUCUUGUGGAUAUUUUGUUCAUUCAAAAUAAAAGUUCAUUGGCAUUCAUUUCAACAAGAACGACACUUUGCAGCAAUGAUGAUGAUGAUGAUGAUGAUGAUGAUGAUGAUGAUGAUGAUGAU